AAGUCCUUCACAAUGAAGAACUAAUUUAUCUGGCAUUAAUUGAUUAGGGCCAGAAGUCAAAGAAACCUGCGCCAAUGAUGAAGACACAUGCAAAUGUAACAUAUUUUCUCCCACCAAGAAUCGAUGUUGAAGAUACACGUGCUCCGGACUCUUGUUUUCUCUCCGAAUGCUGGCCCGAGCGGAUGGACUUAUUUUGAACAGUGAUUUGAUGUACCCAAUUCUUCAUGUCGCUUCUACAGCUUUUGGAGAUGAACGAAUCUGUUACAAAUGCAUCAGAAUCUCUGAGGAAUUCUGAUCAAGAAAAAAAAAAAAAAUACACUGUCAAGUUUGUGAUUUCAUAUAACUAAUUGAUGUUUUCAGGAGAGGGGUGUUGUUGUUAUAAAAUCGAUGUAAAGCCAGAUACUGAUUCAUUCUUUAUGAUAGAUGUUUGUGAAAUAAACUUCAUUUGUUUUUA